rnacentral:rRNA from 1 species
UACGGAGGGUGCAAGCGUUAAUCGGAAUUACUGGGCGUAAAGCGCGCGUAGGCGGCCAUUUAAGCUAGAUGUGAAAGCCCCGGGCUUAACCUGGGAACUGCAUUUAGAACUGGGUGGCUAGAGUACAGCAGAGGAUAGUGGAAUUUCCGGUGUAGCGGUGAAAUGCGUAGAGAUCGGAAGGAACAUCAGUGGCGAAGGCGACUGUCUGGGCUGAUACUGACGCUGAGGUGCGAAAGCGUGGGGAGCAAACAGG